rnacentral:sRNA from 1 species
GUAUAGCCCUGAUGGCAGCGGCAUCCUUUUUUUGGUGACUGCGGUUCCCGAAGACACUAAAAAAGAUAUAGCGUACAGCAGGACUGAAA